rnacentral:misc_RNA from 1 species
UCCGGUUUGGCACCGGCAGUCUUCCUAGAGUCCCCGCCAUUACGCGCUGGCAACUAAGAACAGGGGUUGCGCUCGUUGCGGGACUUAACCCAACAUCUCACGACACGAGCUGACGACAUCCAUGCAGCACCUGUCUCCAGGUUCCCGAAGGCACCCCCACAUCUCUGCAGGGUUCCUGGGAUGUCAAGACCAGGUAAGGUUCUUCGCGUUGCAUCGAAUUAAACCACAUGCUCCGCUGCUUGUGCGGGGCCCCGUCAAUUCCUUUGAGUUUUAGCCUUGCGGCCGUACUCCCCAGGCGGGGUGCUUAAUGCGUUAGCUACGGCACGGAGGGAGUCGACACCCCCCACACCUAGCACCCAUCGUUUACAGCGUGGACUAC